GAGCGCGUGUGUGUGUCAGCGUGUGUGUGUGCAGGAGAAGAGAUAAAGAGAGGGAGAGAGAGAGAGAGGCGAACAGCGGAACUUCUCCCCCUCCAGCCUCCCCGUCUCCCCGCUCCUGGCCACUCCGUCCUCCCCUCCCGGACUGCCUCCGAGCCCCCGGACCCCCAGGACUCUCCUACCCAUCAGCCCCUUUGACUCUCCUGACUUCUCCAUCCGUCUGAGCAGGAUUCCCCUGUUUUCCCUGGGGUGUCAUCUUGGACCUGUUCAUCCAACGAAAGCUCUACAUCCACCACUGACGAUCGCGGGAAGAAAUUCAAGCAUUCAGCUAAACCAUCUGAAGAACUCAAGUCUGCUUCACUCAGGAAGAGGCCACGCCUCCCCAGUCCUCUGGAAGGUGGACAGCACAAGGUCACAUGACCUGGACCAGAAACCCCAGGAGAGUUUUGGGACCCCUGAAUGGGCUGGCUAUCAACCUGGGGAGAAGUGUAAAGGUUGAUGAACUGAUCCGUCCGGAACCACAAGUCGACUUUCCCCUCCUCCACCUUCAGCUCCCUGCCUCCAUAUAUGAGAAGCCUCAGCCGGGAUCAGCUCUGGUGACUGGCUGGCUGUAGCACCAUCACACUCCUCCCCUUCCUGAGGACCACACACACCUGUCACACCUCCCACUACUACCAGGAUGGAGCCUACCAAAGUCCAGUCAGAGGGGGGGCUCAAUGUCACCCUCACCAUCCGCCUCCUCAUGCAUGGCAAAGAGGUUGGAAGCAUCAUUGGCAAGAAGGGGGAAACCGUGAAGAAGAUGCGAGAGGAGAGUGGUGCACGAAUCAACAUCUCUGAGGGCAACUGCCCUGAGAGGAUCGUCACCAUCACAGGCCCAACAGAUGCCAUCUUUAAGGCUUUUGCCAUGAUUGCCUACAAGUUUGAAGAGGAUAUAAUCAAUUCCAUGAGCAACAGCCCUGCCCCCAGCAAGCCCCCAGUCACCCUGCGCCUGGUAGUGCCGGCCAGCCAGUGUGGCUCCCUCAUUGGGAAGGGAGGCUCCAAGAUCAAGGAGAUGAGAGAGUCCACAGGUUCUCAGGUCCAGGUGGCAGGUGACAUGCUGCCCAACUCGACAGAGCGUGCAGUGACAAUCUCUGGCACCCCAGAAGCCAUCAUCCAGUGUGUCAAGCAAAUAUGUGUGGUCAUGUUGGAGUCCCCACCUAAAGGUGCCACAAUCCCCUACCGCCCCAAGCCUGCCUCCACCCCCGUCAUCUUUUCAGGUGGCCAGGCCUACACAAUUCAGGGACAGUAUGCCAUCCCACACCCAGAUCAGUUGACCAAGCUCCACCAGUUGGCUAUGCAGCAAACCCCCUUUACCCCUCUCGGACAGACCACCCCCGCUUUCCCUGGUCUGGACGCCAGUCCCCCAGCCAGCACUCAUGAACUCACCAUUCCCAAUGAUCUAAUAGGCUGCAUAAUCGGGCGCCAGGGAACCAAGAUCAAUGAGAUCCGACAAAUGUCUGGGGCGCAGAUCAAAAUUGCUAACGCCAUGGAGGGUUCGUCUGAGCGUCAGAUCACCAUUACAGGAACCCCUGCCAACAUCAGCCUGGCCCAGUACCUCAUCAACGCCAGGUAAACAUCAGCCUGGCCCAGUACCUCAUCAACGCCAGGUAAACAUCAGCCUGGCCCAGUACCUCAUCAACGCCAGGUAAACAUCAGCCUGGCCCAGUACCUCAUCAACGCCAGGUUCAGGGACGUGGCAGCUAUGUGGAACGACCCGUCAUCUAUGACACCCUCCUGAAGUCCCCAAAUCUGUUCCCUUUAUCAGAAGCCAACAGCGACAACUGUGUGCUAAUUAACCCCCACAUACUGUAUACUCCAACAGAACAUCUUUAGUCCCAUAGCUAAUGUCCUUAGUUCUUGGCCAUUAGACUUUAGUAGUAGCCUGAUUCUUAAAUAAGGGUUUUGCUAAUGCAAAGCUAGCAAAAGUGUGUUUUUACUUUUGGGUAAUGUGCAGUAGUUUAGUAUAGUAUUGAGGCAUGCUGAUUGGAUAUAGUAGUUUCCUUGUCAGGAAAGUAAGAAAAUGUAUAAAAAAUGGAAAAUUAAAAGAAGAAAAAAAAAAAGUGCAAGCACUGUAAUUACAUUUGAUUCCUGCAGAGCAAUGCUGUUGGAAAUAAGUGAUGUGAUGCUGUUUUGAAGGGAAAAUGCUGUCAUAUGUGAGAGAAAAAUUAAAAAACCUGUUGUAAAAUGUAAGCAGGUUUAGGAGCGUAGCCAUUCUGAAGGUAAACAUUAAGUUGACAACUUCUGUCAGUGUGUUUACCAGUACUUGCUGAGUGCUUUUGAUUGGUUUCAAUCAAAAUCAAUUGCUAAAUCCAUAUGCAUGGAAACAUUAUAGGCUAACAACAUCAGAAGACCUUAAAGAUAUAAAUCUGCAAAGCUUUCACUGUUGAAUGAAAGUGUCUAAGCUUAUCAGAACGUCUCUUUGUUUUCUAUCUUUUCCCUCCAUCCUUCCUCCCCCCUUCCCCAAACUGUUCUAGGCUGACAGAGUUCACUGGAAUGGACACACUCUAAUUUCUACCCAUCAUCCUUCACUGCAUCACAUGACCCUUGAGCCAAUGACAUUGCACCUAGAUAUUUCAUUUAUCUCUGUAUGUAGUUCUCCUACCUUUUAAGUGAUUCAGGUUUAUAUUCCAUGUGAAGAUGUAUCUUUGUAACCCUCACUGUUAUCCGGAUUCUUUUCUAAACUGCUCACAACGCUACUAUGUUGAAAGGACUCUUUACUUUUUUGACACUCUAGUACUGUCCAUAGCAUCACUUGUAACCGACAUUGCCAUGCAUUUAAUUUGUAUACAUUUAUUUGUAUUAAUCAUGAAAAAAAGUGAGUUAUUACAGGCACCUAAGAGCCAUUUCUUGAACAAUGUUUUUUCCCAAGCUGUAGUGUAAGGCUGUUGAAACACAUUUUUGGGGUGGGUAGGUGAGAGUGUGUGUGUGUGUGUCAUGUUUGCUCACCAGUGUGUCUGGCAGGCUGGCUGACAUCUGGGAUGAGGCUUUUAAUUCAUGUGACAUCUAUGCAUUUUGGAUUCACUUUCAACGACUGUGGUGGAACUGACAGAAAUUCACAGAAAAGUUCAGACUGGAUAAGGAAUGCUGAUUGGCUUGGCUGAGUCCUUCUGCCCCACAUAGUCCCUUGUCAACAACCUUCCUGAAGGCAUCUGUUUGUAUCCAAAUAUGGGGGGGGGGGAUACUGUGUAGUUACUUCCUCCCACUGAAAGUGAAUAUCAAAAUGUUUUAAUUCACAGAAAUCAGCUCUUGUACUUGUAAACGGCUGAUAUGUGAAGUUGAGUUGAUACAGGGAGGCCAUAAUAUCUCAGUAGUAGUGAUUACUAAUCACAACUGCUAUAAAGCACUUCAUAAAGCCUUCAGAAAAUGAACAGUAACUGUCAGUGUGCUGCCUGUGGUGUCGUGGUGCUCUGUGCUUUACUUUACUGUGUGUGGCUGUGGGGUAGCAGGGAGAGCUGGCUGAGAGUGUCCCUGUGUGUGGCUGUGGGGUAGCAGGGAGAGCUGGCUGAGAGUGUCCCUGUGUGUGGCUGUGGGGUAGCAGGGAGAGCUGGCUGAGAGUGUCCCUGUGCGUGGCUGUGGGGUAGCAGGGAGAGCUGGCUGAGAGUGUCCCUGUGUGUGGCUGUGGGGUAUCAGGGAGAGCUGGCUGAGAGUGUCCCUGUGUGUGGCUGUGGGGUAGCAGGGAGAGCUGGCUGAGAGUGUCCCUGUGUGUGGCUGUGGGGUAG